AUACCUUUCUCGGCCUUUUGGCUAAGAUCAAGUGUAGUAUCUGUUCUUAUCAGUUUAAUAUCUGAUAUGUGGGCCAAUGGUCCACACGAUAUUAAAUUUAUUUCUUGAGGGGGAGAGUCCACUACAAAAUCAAU
rnacentral:snRNA from 1 species